rnacentral:rRNA from 1 species
CCUACGGGCGGCAGCAGUGAGGAAUAUUGGUCAAUGGGCGGAAGCCUGAACCAGCCAAGUAGCGUGCAGGAUGACGGCCCUACGGGUUGUAAACUGCUUUUAUACGGGAAUAACGCGCCUUACUUGUAGGGCUUUGCAUGUACCGUAUGAAUAAGGACCGGCUAAUUCCGUGCCAGCAGCCGCGGUAAUACGGAGGAUCCGGGCGUUAUCCGGAUUUAUUGGGUUUAAAGGGAGCGUAGGCCGCAGGUUAAGCGUGCUGUGAAAUUUUCGGGCUCAACCCGGGCCUUGCAGCGGAUACUGGCGUGCUUGAGUCCGCGGAAAGCAGGCGGAAUUCGUGGUGUAGCGGUGAAAUGCUUAGAUAUGACGAAGAACCCCGAUUGCGAAGGCAGCUUGCUGCAGCGGAACUGACGCUGAUGCUCGAAAGCGCGGGUAUCGAACAGGAUUAGAUACCCUUGUAGUC